UAGAUUCCCAGCUGGAAAAGUACUGAAGAGCCUUAAUGGUCCCCCUACAGCAACUACUGUGAGCCUGGAGGGAAAAGUGUGAUCAAACAAAACAGAGAGCUCAGCAUGAGAAAGAGUAUUUUCUUCCAUCUGCAUACAAGAGCCACAAAUAAAAAAAAAUGUUUGUGAAAUGGAUCUGGGUGAGUUGGAGGAACAGGUCAUUCGCUGUCAACUCAGACAAGGACCGCUCUUCUACAGCAAUAUGGAAUGAGCUGUUUGGAAAUCAAAAGGUAGGACUCAGUGACUCUCUCCAGCAUCUCGUCAUCUCCUUCUCUUCCCUUCCCCUGUAGAGGAGCCUGAUGCAGGAGAACAGGUGCGCUCCCAUUCACCGUAAUGCAAAUGUGAACUUUACAGCGGCAUUGUGGCUCCUCAACUACGCUAUGAAAAUAUCACCCCAUUGGCAUCUUGCUGCCUCUAAUGAGCUGCUUAUCAUCCUUGAGAAAAAUAAUGAGGUUUCUUUAAACACCACCACCUGUCCAUCUCGAGCAGAUAAACAGGACGGAACCUCAUGCUGUAGGCUGGUGCAACAAACAACCACUUCCAAAUUUUUGAAUUGUAAAUUGCUCCUUGAACACACAAAGAAAAUGAACUGAAUAAC